rnacentral:pre_miRNA from 1 species
GCAGUCUGCGCAUUUUCAGUUUGGAUGACUGUGCUCUGAAGAAAUACUGAUGAUCGUCCGUAGCAUUUCAUCAGGCCAUAGUUGUCCAAACUGAGAGUUGUG